UACGGGGGGGGCAAGCGUUGUUCGGAAUUACUGGGCGUAAAGCGCGCGUAGGCGGCUUUGCAAGUCGGGUGUGAGAUCCCCAGGCUUAACCUGGGAACUGCAUUCGAGACUGCAUUGCUAGAGUAUGGGAGAGGGAAGUGGAAUUUCCGGUGUAGCGGUGAAAUGCGUAGAUAUCGGAAGGAACAUCAGUGGCGAAAGCGACUUCCUGGACCAAUACUGACGCUCAUGUGCGAAAGCGUGGGGAGCAAACAGG
rnacentral:rRNA from 1 species